rnacentral:rRNA from 1 species
UACGGGGGGGGCAAGCGUUGUUCGGAAUUACUGGGCGUAAAGGGUCCGUAGGUGGCUUGCUAAGUCAGACGUGAAAUCCCUCGGCUUAACCGGGGAACUGCGUCUGAGACUGGCGAGCUUGAGUGCAGGAGAGGAACGCGGAAUUCCAGGUGUAGCGGUGAAAUGCGUAGAUAUCAUUUGGAACGCCAAUGGUGAAAACAGGUAGCUGGGGCUGUGCUGACACUGAGACACGAAAGCCAGGGGAGCGAACGGG